UCAGCUACUUAGCUCAACUUUUCAAAACUUAAAUAAGUGUAGCAAAACAUGACCAAAGUAAUGAUGACCACUACAGCAAAAUAUAACAUUGAAAUUGUAACACAAAUAAGCACAAUAACAGAAUCCUAUCCUUUAAAGCUAAAGUGACUACAGCCAUUUUUGUCUUUUAGUGUUUGUAAAACUAUAUGAAAUACGACAUCUUUCCAAGGUCACUUUAAAAUACAACUCUGCUGUUGAUGCUGAUGCUGUCAUGUCUAUCUCCAUCUCAGGUGUCUCAUGUUCACUGUGACGAUCUUCUGAGUGAAGCCAAACAGAAGGAAACCUCAUCUACUUGUGAAGGACACUGAAAGGAUGAUAUCCUCAGUGAACCACUUCCUGUUUAGCUUUCUGUUAUAGAAGGACAGACCAACUGAUUCAAUAUUUUAUUAUGCUCUGUUCUUAGUCUUCACAGAUUCCCUGUAUCACCUUCAACUGAAUCUCUGCUGUUGUCACAUAAAUACAAUAUAAAAAGUCCAUGUUAUUUCUAGCAGAUAUGCAGCAUGAAAACAUCAAAACAUUAAGAUGAAAAGCUUCAUCAUUUCUUGUCUUGCUUAUGUAAAAACUACAUUAUGUAUCAAUGGUCAGCUGUAAAUAUGUGCAAACACAUGAAAUAAAUGGAUGAAAUAACUAAUGUGUUGCGGACAUUGAUGUAUAAACACUGAACAGUCACAAAAGAAAUUGUAUUAUGAUGGCAGGAGCUGAAUCUGCAGCUUCAUUGUUAUGACUGGAGACAUGAGGAGGAAAUAAGUGUUGCUCUUCCUCACAGUGAUGGAGGAGACACGACUCUUCAGACAACCAUAACUGGAUGUUCAUGUCCUCUGAACCUCUCAGUCCAUCAGAGCAGAAGUUCCCAAUGAUCCAGACCAAGACUAGAAGAACAAGACAUUAACAAUGAGGAAAAGAUGUCCAAAGUUAUUUUAUUCUAACAACUGGAACAUUAAACAUGAGAAGAAAUAAAACAUAAUAAUGUUUUCUUUUUUGUCCUAUUUGUUAAUGUUCUGGAAAUGUUUGUUGUCUUGGUUGAGAGCAAAGAACAUUUUACUGCAUCACAUGGACAAUAAAGUUUAUCCUUAGCAUCAACAUGAGCUCAAGACAGUUGUCUUAACAUACACUGUUGUCAACACAAAAAACUAUGAUGUUUUACAUUAAAUAACAUCGGAAAGUAAUACUGCUUCAGUGUGAUAGUAGCUACAACUCAGUAAUGUUACUCUUUGUUAUAGAACAAUUUCAACACAUUUUUGUCAGUGAAAUGAACAGAAGCUAUGAAAACAGUGUGAAACCAAGAAUAAAAACAUUAAGGUGAUCAAUGAGCUAUGACCAAAACAGAGUUAGCACAUUUAUAAUGCUGACAAACCUAAUGUAACAUCACUGUGAACACUUAGUCAGGAAACUCAACCUGACAUAUAGAAUAACUUAAGUAUGUUAGAACAUGUUUAAAUCAGAGGUUUCUGACUAAUGUGAACUUACAGCAACUUCAGCUAUAGUAACAUAAAUCACUGUUUUAAAUGUGAUUUUGUCCAAAUGUGGCAAAAAAAACCCAAGUGAAUAAGGUGACCUUACCUGUAGACUUUAGCUCCACCAUGGAAGUUAAUGUUAUUCACAGCAGCAUUCAUAAAUACAAAAGCCAGUACACAUUGAGAGAUAGAGAAUCCUUGGUUGUCCGUCUGACCAAUGGUUGCUUACGAGUUCUGUCCUCUUUCAAUCAUUUUUUGGUUUCUGACUCCAAAAAUCCAUAAUGUCAACCAGGAAACAACAAAGUUUUUCCUUGAUCUUGGAAGUUCAGAAAGCAAGGCGUGACUUCACAGUUGGUAUGUUCAACUUUAUUUUACUUUAUAAUACAGGCGAGUUUUGCAGCACUUCCUGUCAAUCCAACAGGUAGGGUUAUGACUGUGACUGUAUUUAGGCCUGUGAAUGUCAUCAGGGCAAGACUACGAUCAUACUUAUAAAAUUUCAGACAGAUUGAAGCACAUUCAGGCUAGUGAUGGAGCUUAUCCUGUCCAGCCAGCAGGUAGUACUGCAACCAAGUGUGUAUCUCAACCUGUGGAUGUGAUGAGGACUGGCCUCUGAUCACACUUUGACAUUUUUUCAACCAGAUUGCAGCAUGUUCAGACUAGGUAUAGAGCAUUUCCUGUCCAUCCAACAGGUGGAGCCGCAACUGAGAGUGUAUGUUGGCCUAUGGAUGUGAUCAGGAUUGGACUGUGAUUAUACAUGUAAAGUCUGUGGCACAUUGGAGCAUGCAGAGGAUAGUUAUGCACAUCCUGUGCAUCUCCUGGGGGGAUCUCUUGGGCGAUUAGCCCCCCCUGUCCUUAGAACCGAGUGACGCCUCUGGUCAUACUGCAGCUGUUGUUUCAUGGCCAAGCAUCAAAACUCUGAUGGUCGCCAUGGCCACGCCAUUUGGCUUCUGGUUAAACUUUUGAUAACUUUUCAUCACCAAGUCCUGCUGUGUGGACUGACAAAAUUUCAGGUCUCCUGGAAUUAUCCCCUAGGAGGUAUUAACUCUCAAAAAAGAGAAAAAUCAUCAAAAAUCUCACAAUUAAUCCAAGAUGGCCGACUUCCUGUUGGGUUUAGGACAUGGCUCCAAGAGGCUUUUUUGUGCGUCCUGAUGUGCUCUAUAAGCCUCCCAAACUUCAUGGAUGUAGGUGAAAUGUGCUGGGGGGGCUGUUUGUUAAAAAUACUGUAGGGGGCGCUAUAGCAUGUGCAGUGCCAAGAUGCAUACGGUGUCGUUCCUUGGGUCGAUGGUGAUGUGUGUGGUAAUUUUAGUGAGCAUUGGAGUAUUUCUAACCUGUCAAAUAGCACUUUGUUUUGCAUGGCGAUAUUUGGUUGCUACGGCAACAGCGUUGCAUGAAAUGUCACACCCUUGACAAUGUGGGAUUGUCAAGAGGUGAAGACUCGACUGACCAAUUUCCAGCAUGAUAUCACCACGUUUGGGGCCAUUGUACCUGAAAAUAUAAGGCCUUAAACUUACUAUUACCAACAGGUGGCGCUAUGACUUUUUCAAAAUUUAUGAGUGUGGAUGUGUUCAGACUGGACCUGGUAUCCAGCAUGUGAAGUCUGAGGCAGAUAGGAUGUUGUUCAGCUGAG